GAUGAAGAACGCAGUGAAAUGCGAUAAUUAAUGUGAAUUGCAGAAUUUAGUGAAUCAUCGAAUCUUUGAACGCACAUUGCGCCCCUUGGUAUUCCGGGGGGCAUGCCUGUUCGAGCGUCAUUUCAACCCUCAAGCUCUGCUUGGUCUUGGGCUGCGCCGGCAACGGCGGGCCUCAAAAACAGUGGCGGCGCCAUCUGGUCCCUCAGCGUAGUAAUUCUUCUCGCUGCUGGGCCCCGGUGGCCGCUUGCCAGCAACCCCAAACUUUCUAUGGUUGACCUCGGAUCAGGUAGGGAUACCCGCUGAACUUAAGCAUAUCAAUAAGCGGAGGA
rnacentral:misc_RNA from 1 species